GCCGCCGUGGCUCAGUCCGGUAGAGCGACAGCCUGUUAAGUUGUUGGUCCCAGGUUCAAUUCCUGGCGGCGGCGCCA
rnacentral:tRNA from 1 species